CCUACGGGGGGCAGCAGUGGGGAAUAUUGCGCAAUGGGCGAAAGCCUGACGCAGCGACGCCGCGUGAGGGAUGAAGGUCUUCGGAUCGUAAACCUCUGUCAGCAGGGAAGAACGGUCACUGUGCUAAUCAGCAGUGAAUUGACGGUACCUGCAAAGGAAGCACCGGCUAACUCCGUGCCAGCAGCCGCGGUAAUACGGAGGGUGCGAGCGUUAAUCGGAAUUACUGGGCGUAAAGCGCUCGUAGGCGGUAUGUCAAGUCAAGGGUGAAAUCCCCGCGCUCAACGUGGGAACUGCCUGUGAAACUGGCAAACUGGAGUGUGUGAGAGGAUAGUGGAAUUCCAGGUGUAGGAGUGAAAUGCGUAGAUAUCUGGAGGAACAUCAGUGGCGAAGGCGACUAUCUGGCACAUAACUGACGCUGAGGAGCGAAAGCGUGGGUAGCAAACAGGAUUAGAUACCCGAGUAGUC
rnacentral:rRNA from 1 species